rnacentral:tRNA from 1 species
GUCUCUGUGGCGCAAUCGGUUAGCGCGUUCGGCUGUUAACCGAAAGGUUGGUGGUUCGAGUUCACCCAGGGACG